UAGAUGCGAGAGUAGAGCAUAUCAAUAAGCGGAGGAAAAGAAACUAACAAGGAUUCCCCUAGUAACGGCGAGUGAAGCGGGAAGAGCUCAAAUUUGAAAUCUUCAAGGGUUUCCCUUGACGAAUUGUAGUUUAAAGAAGUGUUUUCUGUUAGAGAGGUGGUAAAAGUUCUUUGGAAUAGGACAUCAUAGAGGGUGAGAAUCCCGUAUUUGAUCACUUUCUACUAACGUUGUGAUACACUUUCAAAGAGUCGGAUUGUUUGGGAAUGCAGUCCAAAAUGGGUGGUAAAUUUCAUCUAAAGCUAAAUAUUGGCGAGAGACCGAUAGCGAACAAGUACCGUGAGGGAAAGAUGAAAAGAACCUUGAAAAGAGAGUUAAACAGUACGUGAAAUUGUCAAAAGGGAAGCGUUUGACACCAGUGUUGUUUUCUCGAAAAUCAAUUAAGAAUGAUGAUUUUGUGUUAAGUAUUGACUUUAUCAGGCUUCUGCCUUUUCUCUUACGAAUCUUCUUAAUGCACUUUUCGGUUAACAAGUCAACAUCAAUUUCUUUUGUUGUAAAAGGGUCAUUGAGGAAGGUGGCUUUCAUUUCGGAUGAAAGUGUUUAUAGCCUUGUGACUUCUGCAAUCGGAGAGAUUGAGGUCUGCAGCGUAGAUCCUUCGGGGUUAGAUACAUUUGUGCUAAGUUAUAGCUUUUCAUAGACAACUUGUUGACUAUGUUUAGUCUUGUAGCUUACUCGCUUACGCUAUUUUACCUACGCUUAGGAUGUUGACGAGACUGUCGAUCUC
rnacentral:rRNA from 1 species